rnacentral:rRNA from 1 species
UACGUAGGGUGCGAGCGUUAAUCGGAAUUACUGGGCGUAAAGCGUGCGCAGGCGGUAAUGUAAGACAGAUGUGAAAUCCCCGGGCUUAACCUGGGACCUGCAUUUGUGACUGCAUUGCUGGAGUGCGGCAGAGGGGGAUGGAAUUCCGCGUGUAGCAGUGAAAUGCGUAGAUAUGCGGAGGAACACCGAUGGCGAAGGCAAUCCCCCUGGGCCUGCACUGACGCUCAUGCACGAAAGCGUGGGGAGCAAACAGG